rnacentral:lncRNA from 1 species
UACAAGAUUUUUGGCUUUUUGGCUCACGUUUACUUAUGGGAUCUUAGAGAAAAUAUUUUAAUUUGUGUAUGAGAAUAGCUCUUUACUAAAAGAAAAGGGAAACAUGCUUUGAAGAUGGGCCCCCUGUCGUCUAUACAUUGUGCAAACUUAUCCCUUCCUUCCAAACAAUUGUCUCUGCCCUCUCUCAGUUCAUAGAGAACCAUCAGGAAGCCUGCAAGUCAAGCCACUCUACUAGAUUUGAUUCCAACCUUGGGAAGCUGGGAGAGAAGACAGGAGCAAGUUAGUUCAAAUUUCUCUAAAUACAGCCUGCAGCUCGCAACUCAUUUACUUUUACAUUAACAUGUAACCCGCCUUUGGGUAGUUGACUGGAUGCUGGGAGCAUUCAUCAGACAUCCACUAAAGCUUUCCUGAAGCUUUUGCAAAAUAAACUAGAAGUAGUGCAGUGGUGGCCCAGAUUUAAGAUGUCUGCUCUCACCUAGGUCCACGCUGGACGCUUGGCAGCACUUAGUUCUGUAGACAAAGGAGAAGUAUUAAAAAUGUUUUUAUUUCAGGCCUCUUUCAGGGACAAGAUAUAAUUUCCUUUGAAUUCUCCAUUUCAGCAUAGGACAAUAACAGCUGGGCAGGGAUUUGUUUGGCCCAAUACUUUGUUAGGUUUGCACUCAUCUGUGGCUCUCAGUUUGGCAUUUCAUACUAAAUCAAUAGACCAUUGUUAUUGAGACACUGGGCUGCUCUAGCUUCCAGAAGAUUCUGAAAGUAAUCUUUGCUAAGGCUCUAGAGUCUCCUGCAUGCCUCAGCCAAGUCUAACAUUCUCUAAGGAAACGUUACUCAAACUUAGCAGCUGCUCAAGUGGAAAGGUCUAGAAUUUCUGUGAGGCAAUAGGUCACAGAAGGUAAGCAUACAGGCCUUGGAGACUGCUCAGGUGAACAGUCUCUAUAGGGACUCUUUUUCCCACCCUUGACAGGCUGGGUAAUCUCAGGAUACCCUCUGGACCUCAGUUUUAUCCUCUGAGGAGUGAGAACCCACCCCAAAUGUCAGGGAGUACAGUAAAAUGGAGGUGAUGCAGAUAGAUGCUUCAAACAAUGGUCACAUAACAGGCACUCAAUAGCUAUAUGAAUUAUACUGAUGCUAUAUUCUUCCAAAAUGUAUGUAUUUUCAUUAAGGCUGGAAAGUGUCCAUUACCUUGGAUUCAGGCAGCACUUGUCUUUUGACACUGACUCUCUCUGUUUGCUUUCUACUGCCAUACUGGGCUCUGGCUUCAGUGUUUUUCCUCUGUUCUUCAUAACAAUCCACCUCCAUUUUUUGGUUGUGCUUAAAUCCACAGCAUCUACAUCCCUUUAGACAUCAUCAAUGCUGAUAUCAAUUUAAAAUAUCAAAUUUUGAUUUGAGAUCUUUAAGAAAGUUAAUAAUUUUGAGAUAUUCUGAGAAUGAUUUACAAAAGAAAGAUUGUGGUUUAUUUUUGUUUUAACUUAGUUCCCCGCCCCCCAGGAGGACUGAUCACAGCUGGAGAUGUCAGGUAAUAUGUGGGGUGGGUAAGAUGAUAUACGUACAUAGGUAUUUACAUAGGCAUUUGCUCUCAUGUAGAUCAUGGCUAAAGUGUUAUCUGGCAACUCAUGAUAGGAGUCUGAGAAGUGAGUGUUGAAUAUAGAGAACUAUGGAUCGAUUCAAGGACUAAGGCAGAACGCUAUGCUUAAUGACAACAUUAUUAAGUUGAUAAGCAUGGCAUUGACGUUCAAGUGUUACUGGCCUGACAGUUCCCAGGGACACUGUCAAUAAGUCAUGAUAAACUGGAUCAGUCAAAUCUCUCAGCUAUGUCUGCUUUGAUGGAGACAGAUACAGCUGCCGGAUGCUUCAAACAGGAAAGCCAAGGCUACAGGACAGAACCAGCUAACGUAAGGAAAAUAGAUGACAGGUGCCCCAUAUUAAUUCCAUUAAUUAGCAUCUUGGAGACAGGUGAUACCAGCAAAGGUAUACCCAGAAAUGGGAGAGGACAAGAGGAUUCAAAUUCUACAUGCAUCUCUCCUGUGAAUCCAGUAGGGUUUUAAAAGGUGUUUCACCUUAAGGACCCUAGAUGCCUAAGAACUUGAUCUCAUCUUCCUCUCCGAGUUGGUGAUUUCAAUGGGCUUCUGAGAAAUCCCUAAAGCAAUUUAAAUACCACAAAGCAAUUUAAACCCCACUCCAAUGGAAGGCAUCAGAGACUGUGUAUCAAAAGGAAUCCUGAGGAAAUGCAGGCAGUGAGAUUCAUCUGAGGAACUGAUGAUACAGAGGGUUAAAAGCAGAGAGCAGGAAGCAUUGCUCAGAUAGUUCAACGUCUAGUCUGGCAGGAUAGGCUGAACUAUCUACUCAACCACUUUCUGAUUAAGGUAAGACAUGCCACACAACAGGAUUUAUAGCGGCUUUCCUGAACUUGGUCAACAGCCUUCCCCUUGGGAGGCCAUAGACUCUAGUGGUAUCUACCACUGUGGUUUUGCUAUUUGUACAUAAAAUGUCUGUCUAUCAGAUUGAUUGUGUUUAUGAGAAUAGAUUGGUGAUGUCUUCAGUUUGGGGCAGAGAAAGUUCAUUUUUCAGUGGGCAGUGGUAGGUGUAGGGACCCAGGAUUAGUCAGAAUCUUGAGAAUAGGAGAUGGUCGGCUGCCCACCUUUAAGCGGAACAUCCAUAGCAACUCCUCCAUGUCUCAGGGAACAUCACAGGAGAAGAAGUAGGAAGAACAUAGGAGCCAGAGGGAGGAGUGGGUGUUGUGUAACUGACUUCAGCCCCUUACACUCAAAUUAUGGUAGCUGUGAAAUGACCUGUGCAAUGUACAGCUGUGAAGUGACCUGUCAAUAUCCUGCCCUAUAGGAAAGAGGGCCUUACCAUGUCCAACUCCUCCCUGAGGACUUAUAGGCAAUUGCUAGGGGAAGGAGAGAUAUUUUCUUCAGUUCUAUAGCUAAUGGUAAGGUGCACAUGCUUCUAAAAAAACAAACAAAAACAAACCAACAAAUAAACAACAACGACAAAAACACCAAUGCUUCUAUAAGAAACACUAAUGAAACUUAAUCAAAGCCAUGAACGUAGACAGGAGAGUGGCUGGGAAGCACAAGGGGAUCUGGGGAUGGGAAGGAACAAGAGGUGGUAGUGGGGGAGGAUGUGUGGUAAAGAUGAUCCAAGUGCAUGCAUAAAAUUGUCAAGAUAAAACUCAUUAUUGGGCACAAUAAUAUUGCAAGAAAAAAAAUUUUUUUUUAAAUGAAGCAAGUGAGUAGCUCUUGGCACCAGCUCUACUUGGGUGGUUUGCAUUAAAGAGACUGUUAAAUGCAGAUGUCCAGAGUCUAGCUCAGAGCAAUUGUAUGGAACUUUCUGGAUAUAGGACCUAAGCUUUUGUAUGUUCUAAUGGGCAUGUGACCCCAAAAAUUCAGCUAGCAGUGGAAAUCACUGAAGACUAGGGACUAGGUGGGUCUUUCUCUCUGGCAUUUAUUUGUUUGUUUGUUUUAUUCGUCUAUCUAUCUAUCUAUCUAUCAUCUAUUUCCACAAGGAAGACUGUUCUGAAGAUGGCCUACAAAGACUCACAAAGAAUGUUGCUGGCUGGUUUCAUUGGAGAAGAAAAGAGAAGAGAAAAGAGAAGAGAAGAGAAGAGAAGAGAAGAGAAGAGAAGAGAAGAGAAGAGGACACCCAGAACCAAUCAGAUUUCAAGCAAGGCUGUGAAUAGACUGGAGACGGCACAGAUACACGAACAGCCAAGCACAGCCAUGAUGGGUAUAGAUUUGGGAUGGAAGGUAAUGGGCAGAAGCUGAGAUGGACAGGGUGGGGUCUAAAUGACUCUACACCUUUAUAAAUCUCAAGGUAAUGAUCAGCACUGUAUUUUCUCUGAACAUUUAACCUUAGCACUGAGCCAAAGCCUGGCUUCAACAAAAUGUCAGUCAGAUGGAAUGAGUGAGGAUCCCAUGCAUUUCUUACAAGUUUUUGUUGCUAUAGUUGGUUGGUUUGCUUUGUUGGCUUGUUUACCUUCUCUGGGAGGUAUCUUAAUAGGCUUUUUGUAUAUUUAUGAAACUACAUUCCUAACCUCUAGAAAAAAGACACACACACACACACACACACACACACACACACUUUGUAUGAAGUUCUAUGGAAGAGUUAGGGGAAGGACUCAAGGAACUAAAAGGGAUGGCAACCCUAUAGGAAGACCAACAGUAUCAACUAACCUAGACCCCUGGGAGCUCUGAAUGACUAAGCCACCAACCAAAGAGCAUAUAUGGGCUGGUCCAUGGCCCUUGCACAUAUGUAGCAGAAGACUGCCUUGUCUGGCCUCAGUGGGAGAGGAUGCACCUAAUCCUGUAGAGACAAAACCUAAAGGAAGAACAAA